rnacentral:rRNA from 1 species
AGCGAACGUUAGCGGCGCGCCUAACACAUGCAAGUCGCACGGGGUGGCAACACUCAGUGGCGCACGGGUGCGUAACACGUAGAUAAUCUGCCCUUCGAAGGGGGAUAACGUUCCGAAAGGAGCGCUAAUACCGCAUAAAGCCGUUUGGGGUUUGCCUCAGGCGGGCAAAGGCUGGGACCGGCAACGGCCAGUCGUCGAAGGAGGAGUCCGCGGCCCAUCAGCUAGUUGGCGAGGUAAUGGCUCACCAAGGCAGAGACGGGUAGCUGGUCUGAGAGGAUGAUCAGCCACACUGGUACUGGAACACGGACCAGACUUCUACGGGAGGCAGCAGUGGGGGAUCUUGGUCAAUGGGCGCAAGCCUGAACCAGCGACGCCGCGUGAGUGAUGAAGGCCUUCGGGUUGUAAAGCUCUGUGGGGAGAGACGAAAGAGCGCAGUCGAAUAGGCUUCGUGUUGACGGUAUCUCCUUAGCAAGCACCGGCUAACUCUGUGCCAGCCGCCGCAGUAAUAC